rnacentral:rRNA from 1 species
GUGCACCAGGCGCGAAAACUUCACAAUGUGCGAAAGCACGAUGAGGGAAUCCCAAGUGCUUGCUCGUAAGAGUAAGCUGUUUCUCUGUCUAAAACGCAGAGAGAGUAAGGGCUGGGUAAGACGGGUGCCAGCCGCCGCGGUAAUACCUGCAGCUCGAGUGGUGCCGCUAUUAUUGGGCCUAAAACGUCCGUAGCCGGUUUAUUAAAUGCCUGGGUAAAUCGGACCGCUUAACGGUUCGAAUUCCGGGUAGACUGAUAAACUUGAGACCGGGAGAAGCUAGAGGUACUCCUGGGGUAGAGGUGAAAUUCUGUAAUCCUAGGGGGACCACCAGUGGCGAAGGCGUCUAGCUAGAACGGGUCUGACGGUGAGGGACGAAGCCCUGGGGCGCAAACGGGAUUAGAUACCCCUGUAGU